CCUGCCUGGCCCAGAGUCCCCCGCUGCUGCUUUUGCUUCCACCUCUGUGCUGACUGACCCCGCUGCUGCAGCUGCAGGCCCACCAAAGAAGAGGCAAAGAAGGAGGCCCCAGUUCUCUCCAGGGCCGUCCGAGUAUGAAUGCCGGAUCAUGGAGGAACUGAGGGCCAGCAGGGAGGCGCGAUUGUCUAGUCCAAUGACACCUGAUGACCACUUCCUGCUUUCUUUGGGGCCUCUCCUGCAAAAAGUGCCACCUCAUCUCAAAGACUUUGUAAAAUUUCAAAUUCACAAAUUACUUUAUGAGAACAGCACUGUAACGCUGAAUUUGGAACCAUUGGAGCCGUCAGAGUGAUUUUUCACUAAACGAGGUGACAUCUUUUGCAGGAGAGGAAAGACUUCUUUACGUGUCUCUCAUUUUUUCCACCGCACCUCCUCCAAGCAAGCUCCUUUUCAUUCCUGUCCCAUGUUUAAAUAUGUAAAUAGUUUUCUGUGUAAUAAUAAUUCAAAUUAAAUAUUCUUUUGUAUCAA